rnacentral:lncRNA from 1 species
UACACACACACACAUACAAAGACAAAAAUAUAUUGAUGCAUACUUAUACACACAAGCACUUAUGUGUACACACAAACACCCUACCAUCACACACAUCCCCACCCUUCUCACUCCUCCCCCCACCAAACAUACCUAAUUCUGUAAUGUUACAACCUUGUGUCAUUGUCCUAGUGUGUGUGUGUGUUUCUUUUUGUUGCUUUUGUUGGGGAUUUUUUUUUUUCAGUUGUUUAAUAUUUCCCAAAUCUUGUUUCUUUCAUUGAUCAUCAAUAAAUACUGUUGGAAGGGGAAUUUUUGUUUUAUAUUUUUUGCUUGUUUUUAUUUCUCUUCCUCCACCCUCACCUUUUUCCAGUUUUUAUUUUAGUUAUCCAUUUACUUAUUUCUCAACUGUUCAUAGGUAUUUUCCUCUUAAUCAGUGGUUCAAUUCAUUUGGUUUAUUUGUUUCAUGUCAUCAAUUAUUGUUAGCAUAGGAUAUGUGUAGUGGUAUGGUUAGAAGUUUGCUUUCCCAAGCACAUGGUCCAGUUCUACUGCUUGACACCUUGGACAAAUCUCUUCUGCUAUAACCUCAGGCUGACCAAAGCCUUGUCAGUAUAUUUAGUUGACAGAAACUGAAAGAAACUUGUGUAUAUAUAUAUAUAUAUAUAUAUAUAUAUAUACCGUAAAUCCUUGAGUAUAAAUCCGCAUUUUUUUCCCAAAAUUUAACGGUCAAAAUCCUUAGUGCAUACUAUAUACGAGGUUAAAAAUGAAAACUAUUUUCUCAGCAAUGUCCAAGUCUCCAUUUGCUGUCUGGCAAUGUUUAUUCAGUUGCAUUUUGUGAUGUCGGGUGCGAAAAUACCUUAAGCUAAGCCUGAAAGCAAUGAAGUCAUAAAAGAAUCAUCCAUAACUUGCAUUAAGCAACAUUUAUUAAAAUAAAAGUAUUCAGAACACAGAAUAACAUGUAACAAACACAAUUUGCAAACAUAUUUACAUUCCCAAAUUACAGUUAAGAACAUCACCAUUAUUGUAUUACGCAUGCACGGAAGUGUUUGUUCGACUAGGUGCUACAGGUGAGGGUUGGUGACAGAAAGGGUAUCUAGCCAUAAGAAAUCUGCCUCAUCAAAUUCCGUUUGACUCAUGCCAAGCAUAGAAAAGAGGACAUUAAAAUGAGUCUAGCAGAAAUUGCACCAAUAAUGAUUACUUUCCAACUUAAAAAUAAAUUCUUCACCAGAAACCCCAAAUGUACCCCUAGAAUUCUAACAUUUCUCUCAGGUUAGGAAUUGUUGACCUAAACAUAUAUCAACAUGGUUGUAGUAAGACUUGAACCCACAACCUGUUAAUUAACAAUCUAUAUGUGUUAUAUAGAGACUUCUGGUAUCAGUAUAAGACUAGAAAUUUGUGAGUGCUAUAAUUAAUUGUAUUAACCUCAUUAUACAGCUGAUAUUUAUUUUGCUAACCCAGAAGGCAAAGUCAACUUUAUAAAAGGAUACCAGGUAUUUAGUCUAGCACUCUACUGUUUGUGCCAAUCCACAAGCCUCUGUGAUUGUAGAAUAGAAAACAAUGUUUCCAGUAACCUGAAGGUAUAAAAAGCUGGAAGGCGGCGAGCUGGCAGAAACGUUAGCACGCCGGGCAAAAUGCUUAGCGGUAUUUUGUCUGCCACUACGUUCUGAGUUCAAAUUCCGCAGAGGUCGACUUUGCCUUUCAUCCUUUCGGGGUCGAUUAAAUAAGUACCAGUUAUGCACUGGAGUCAAUGUAAUCGACUUAAUCCGUUUGUCUGUCCUUGUUUGUCCCCUCUGUGUGUAGCUCCUUGUGGUCAGUAAAGAAAUAGGUAUAAAAAGCUGGUGUUUUUAAGACCCAAUAUAAAAAGACAGGGUGGAUGUAAAUGCUAGAUGUCAUUCCAUCAAUCAUACUAUACACUUAGACAAGCAAUCUGUCAACAGACAAGUCUGUAGUUUUCUUUAAAUGAUGCUACUGGUCUUACAUCCCCAGCUAGAAGUAGCAACUAGAUCUCCCUCAAUCACAGUGUACUGGCUUAAAUAAAGAACGAUACAAUGAACAGAAUAUCAAAAUAUCAUUAUCCAACAGAUGGUUUCCCUAAUGUUCUGGUGAAGGUGAGGAAAGUACCCAUUUAUAGUUGGUCCCAGUCCCCAUCCACCCUGUCAUAAGUUGAACACCUCUGAUGAUAGCUUUGUUCAAUCAGAACUGACUUUGGGUGGAGUAAACAACAUGUAGGACCCAUCAACUGAGGACUUAAAACAUUCUAAAUGCCAUAAAUUAAUGAUAGAUCCAUUGGAAAGCUAAAACAAACUAGAAUGUUGUUCACAAAAAUACAUUAUAUAAACUAUAAAAACUCCAAAUGAUUUAAUCUGGUAUUUUACCUCUACUACUACUACUACUACUAUUAUCACCACCACCACCACCUCAAUCUCCCAGGGCCAUUUUAGCAGCAUUAAAAACUCCUUGGCAAAUCAGUGCACUGGGCCCUAUAAUAUGUAUUUAUUGAAAGCUACAACAUAUAUAGAUUAAAAUUCCCCCUAGACCUGUGAGGCUACUAGGCAACUACUCAGUAUACUCAUGCCUGGAGAUAGCACUACCGCCACUACCCCAUCUGCUACUACUUUUGGCAAUAAAUAUUUUUUAGUCUGAAAUAUUAAAAGGUUUCUUGUUGACUGUCAACAACAAUUAUUUUUUUUUGCUCUGAAGAAAUUUAAUUUAUUAAUUAAUUAAAUAAAAUCAAAGAUAAAUCAAAGUAAAUUCAGUAUCACAAAGGAUGUUGUUCAUCUUAAUUCUUUUGAAACCAACCCACCCAAGGCUAUCACCUCUGGCUUCAUAGUACAAUGCACUAAUCUUUAAAGGUUUCAUAUGAGAAUUAAAAAAGUUUUCUGUUAUAAUUUUAUGUAAGAAUUUUAAUUUUAGUUUCAUUACAAAUACCAACUUAAUAAUUGUUUCUGAUAAAGAUACAGGACCAGAAAGUUAUGGGAGAGAGGGCUAGAUGAUCACCCUCCCUCCCACCCAGUAUUUUGACUGGUACUUUAUUUUAUUGACUGUGGGAGGAUGAAAGGCAUAAAUGACAUUCGCAACAUUUGAACUCAGAACAUAAAAUGCCACAACUAAAUGCUGCAAAUCAUUUUGUCCAAUACCCAAACAAUUCUGCCAACCUAUCACCCUGAUGUAAAAGUAAAUGAUAUUUAGUCUGAUGAUCUACUGACAUGAUGGCAAUGUUUAAUAGUUCAUUAAGCAUUUAAUUAUUUUGAAAAUUAAAUUAAGCCAUGGAUAGUUUAUGUUGUGAGAAAUAUGGCCACAAAAGGUUUAAUCAAAAUAUGACAUUGUAAUUUCUUUCCUGUCAUAUUGUUGCUUUGUCCCAGGUGAGGUUUGAUCAAGCAGACCUAUGAACUAUCAAAGACAUUCCAGUUGUGACCAUCUCAUCUUGUUUAUAUAUCCAAGACUACACUGUCCAAUGUAUUAUUACCUUUCAUUCUUCUGGAGGUCUAACUUCAUUUAUAAUAUUUUUUAAGAUGGUAAGGUAUGGUCUGAAAGAUAUAUGGCUCCCUAGAUUGGUAGUUAGCUCCAAGUUAGCCCAGAUUGAACAGACCAUGAUAAAAGACAUUCCAGUCCUUGUUUAUUUAUGUUUGUUGGCUAACAUAAAAUAUCUGGGAUUACAUUAUCCAGUGAGUGAGAGCUUCUAUGUGGUGACUCAAUCUGCUUGACAUAACAGCUAAAUAUCUCUCACCUCUCAUCCUGCCAUGAUUUUCUUGUAGAUGUUAAUACAUAGAUGUUUAAACUUAUUGAUGUCCCCAGUUCAGGAGGACCAACAUUUAAAGAUGCAACCCUUUCUCUCUAGACUCACCACUAGAAAAAUUACUUUCUAAGACAUUAAAAGACAUUCGAUUUUAGUUGCCUUUCUUUUAUAUUUUUGUUUAACUGUAGAAGAAAAUGGAAUGUUCUUAGCUUUUGAAGAACUUUAUAGACUGAAAUAAAACUGAGUGUGAUUGUUGUAACGAUGUGAAAAUUGAACUUUUGGUUUGGGCAAGGUGAGAGAGAGUUCCAGAGAAGUUCAAGAUGGAAGAAAGUGGGAUUAAGUAAAAAUGUUGGCAUGAAAGAUAGUCAAGAAGAUGUCAGACACAGUGAUAUAAAUUUAUUCUUUGGUGGCAUUGCGCUAAUUAUUAUUAUGAUUAUUAUUAAUAUUAUUAUCAUUAAUGAUUGACAAAUGAUCAAAAUAAAAUAUUUUAAAAUUUUUUCCAAGAAUUAUAAUGCAAUGUCCCAGAAUGACCAUAGCUGUGAUGACUUAACUGACAAAAUGAACAAAGAUUACAUAAUAAUUUUGCUAUUUACUUACUGCAAAAUUUUUUUUUUUUCUUUUUGAUCUUUUUAUUUUUCAUUCCUGACAAUUUGGGAUAUCCUUUGAAAAAUAAAAGAUUAAAAUCAUGGCAAAAAUAUUUCCAAACUAUUUAUUUUUAAUUUUUUGCAAUUCUGAAGAAGAAAAUUAUUUUGCAUGGAUUGUGGUUAUAUUGCAACAGGCAAAGACAAAAUAAAAAAAAAACUGUCCAAGAAAAAAAAUCUGUCCUCAUUAGCUUCAAAACAUACUGAAAAAUUAUUUUUAAAAUCAACUGCUUUUUCAUUAUCAGUUUUUUCUAAAUAAAUUAAAA